GCUACGGGUGGCAGCAGUGGGGAAUAUUGCACAAUGGGGGAAACCCUGAUGCAGCAACGCCGCGUGAGUGAAGAAGGUUUUCGGAUGGUAAAGCUCUGUUAGCAGGGAAGAGGAAGGACGGUACCUGCAGAGGAAGCCACGGCUAACUACGGGCCAGCAGCCGAGGUAAUACGUAGGGGGCAAGCGUUGUUCGGAAUAACUGGGCGUAAAGGAUGCGUAGGCGGUUAAACAUGUUAUAUUUUAAAUAUAUCGGCUUAACCUGUAGAAAGCAUAUAAAACUGUUUAACUAGAGUGCAGGAGAGUUAAGUGCACUUCCUAGUGUAGCGGUGAACUGCGUAGAGAUUAGGAAGAACACCAGUGGCGAAGGCGACUUACUGGACUGUAACUGACGCUGAGGCAUGAGAGCCUGGGGAGCAAACAGGAUUAGAUACCCUUGUAGUC
rnacentral:rRNA from 1 species